GCCGGGCGCGGUGGUGCAUGCCUGUACUCGGGAGGAUGAAGCUGGAGGAUCUCUUGAGUCCAGGAGUUCUGGGCUGUAGUGCACUAUGCUGAUCGGGUGUCCACACUAAGUUUGGCGUAAAUAUGGUGACCUCCCAGGAGUGGGGGACCAGCAGGUUGCCUAAGGAGGGGUGAACCGGCCCAGGUUGGAAACGGAGCAGGUCAAAACUCCCAUGCUGAUCAGUAGUGGGAUUGCGCCUGUGAAUAGCCACUGCACUCCAGCCUGGGCAACAUAGCGAGACCCCAUCUCCU
ensembl:misc_RNA Metazoa_SRP Metazoan signal recognition particle RNA